AGUUGGUCUCUUCAUAGUUUCCAUCUUCAAGCAUUGGAAGGUAAAUCCAGAAAUAGAAGAGAAGCUGGCAAGUUAUCUCGUAUUUGCUGUUGCUAUUAACGGAGCUCCAACAUGAGAUGGGUGGAAUCCACAGGUCCAAAUUCUUCGAAAUGAAGUUCCAAAUUUACCUCUCCACUUCGAGUAUGGGUUAUAUUACUCUCGGGUUGGAGGAGCAACUUUAGGGGUCAUGGACAAAAAUGAGACUAUUCCUAAUGGUAGCAGUAAUAUUAGACCAAAGUGGAACGGAGCGCAAAGUUCCGAAAUGUUGGAUAGUACAUGGGGUAAGUUUUGGCCAUUUUCCUUUUGAAAUCGAUGGUGCCUUUUGCUUUUAUCUUUAAUGCAUUGCGUUAUUGGUGCUACUUUUGCCAGCUGUUUCUUGUCGCAGCGUCUUUUUUAAAUUAAAGCCUUCAUUGGUAGCAGAUGGAGCUGAUCUGGUUCAUCAGAUAUAGGAUAAGCAUUGCAAUCUACUUACUGCUAGUCUGGUUCUUCAGAUGCAGGAUAAGCAUUGCAAUCUACUUAUAUCCCAUCGUUUUCUAAUAUAGUCUAAAAGGAUUAUAAUCUUACAAUGUGUGAUUCAGACAGAGUGCUUAUAUUACAGGAUCAUCUACAUUUGGCUUAGUUGGACAUGGUGGUCACUUGUGGCGGUCUUCCCUAGAGGUCAUGAAAGUUUCCGUUUGUGCUGUGUGCGAUGAGGGAAUGAGUGGCUUUCAAUCUGGCAGUGCUAAGACCAUCUUUUUGGUGAUAUUUGUUUUUCUUGUAUAACUUUCUGUAUACACCUAGUCAUCUACCGAUACUGCAAAUUGCUGAGGAGCAUAAGAUCGUCCAAGAUUUGGCAAAUUGGGGAUAUGGAGCUCAACUGGUCCUUGCUUGCAUCGUUUGGAUGUAUCGUAUGUUGGUAAAGAUAAUCUUGGAGGUGAGCGUAUUGAUAUGGCUAUUAGUCUCUGGUAGUAAUAUCCUUACAACAGAACUGGAUGCAUAAGCAGAAGCAUGUGGAACUGAUCUUCAAUAUUUGCUGAGGUUCUGGUAUGCUCAUUCUGAGACUUCGUCGCCAAGAACAUUCCCUAUUUCAGCAAGUUUGAGCUUCGAGAGGCACAGUGAUCCCUCUAUCUUACCUAGUUGCAUGUAUUGAUACACUGUCAUUAGUAUAUUGUGCGUUCCGAAAUACUUGUUUGUUGUUGAUUAGAGUAAAUUGCAGGCUGUACAUAGCUUCUAUCUGAACUGAACUUCUAAGGACCUCAUGUCUCCUAAGGAGUCCCAAUCCAGUGCAGAUCUGUUCUUGGACUACUUUCUUCGUGCUCUAUGUGAAGCUUUUUGUCCACCUUUAGAAUCGUCAUGCAUCAUUAUGUCCUUUCGUAUUCCCUUUGUGUGCUUACGCUUCUUUUGGGAGGAAAUGUCAUUCGACGUAUUGACUUUGUUGUAAGUCUGGAGUGAAUGAACAGUUCUGAAUGAAUUCGCUUUGGUGUAGAGUUGGAGUUCAUGAACAGGAUUUUGGUACAUUGACGUUGAUGUAUGUCAGGAUCUCUUAUCCUUUUUCACUGCAGUUGCAGGUGUUAGUCUUGUGGUUGGUUUUAAUUUUAUGAAACUUCCACCUGAAACAGGCAAUAUUCUUCUUUCAUACGUCUGAGGUAACUCGCAUUUGGUUAUGGAUCUUUUGACUGUAUUUGUGGUCAUUAAGCAUUAUUCAUAUGGGUAAAUUGAGGACUACAACUUUACUUGGGGGCUAUAUUUGAUAUUCUUUAGUAGUAUCCGCGCAGCGCGCGGGUACUAAUACUAGUGCUUCAUUUUGACCUACUUACUCUCUUUUUGGCUUUGGGUGAGUAGGUAGGUCAUCCAUUGUUGACAUUGUCAUUUUCUGAAUGUGGUUGCGGACAAUACAGGUUUCGAGUGCUAAAAAAUAGACUGAUCGUUCGGCAAUGCAUUGUUGCUGUAUUCCUUUAUCUCCUGUCACUAUCCAGGUUUCUGGCCAGUUGCUAUGGGUGCUGCUGUCUAAUGUUUGCUAUGGACCUAUGGUGGUGUGUAGGAAAUGCUGUAUUUUGGUCCUCAGUUACACCAAGAUUGGUUGUAUAAAAGAGGGAAAGAAAUAUUUGGCAGGUGGAAUGUAGGUAUUGGCGUAAACCAAAUGUCACACUUAUGCUUCCGAUUCCAUUUGAAACCAGUACCACUACUUUCAAGGCAAA